ACGAACGCUGGCGGCGUGCUUAACACAUGCAAGUCGAACGGAAAGGCCCCUUUGGGGGUCCUCGAGUGGCGAACGGGUGAGUAACACGUGAGUAACCUGCCCUUGACUUCGGGAUAACUACAGGAAACUGGGGCUAAUACCGGAUAGGAAUCCUUGCUGCAUGGUGGGGGUUGGAAAGCUUCGGCGGUUUUGGAUGGACUCGCGGCUUAUCAGCUUGUUGGUGGGGUAGUGGCUUACCAAGGCUUUGACGGGUAGCCGGCCUGAGAGGGCGACCGGCCACAUUGGGACUGAGAUACGGCCCAGACUCCUACGGGAGGCAGCAGUGGGGAAUAUUGCACAAUGGGCGGAAGCCUGAUGCAGCAACGCCGCGUGCGGGAUGACGGCCUUCGGGUUGUAAACCGCUUUCAGCAGGGGCGAAGCUUGUGGUGACGGUACCUGCAGAAGAAGCACCGGCUAACUACGUG
rnacentral:rRNA from 1 species